UACGAACUGUGCGAACGUUAUUCGGAAUCACUGGGCUUAAAGGGUGCGUAGGCGGUUUGUUAAGUCAGGUGUGAAAAUCCCCCAGCUCAACUAGGGGAACGAGCGCUUGUAAACUAGGCGAGACUUGUAGUGAGGUAAGGGUGUGUGGAACUUCCAGUGGAGCGGUGAAAUAGUGUAGAUAUUGGAAGGAACGCCGGUGGCGAAAGCGACACACUGGGCCGUU
rnacentral:rRNA from 1 species